UUACGGACAUAUCACGUUGAAACGUCGGCUUACAUACGACCACCGAAGUUAAGCAACGUCGAGCCUGGUCAGGGCUUAGAUGGGUGAACGUUUGGGAAUACCAGGUGAU